AUGAGUCGCUCGUUCAACUGUCCCUCGGAGACACGGUCGAGAAGUGCCAUGCAUGGUCGCCCCCCCGUCCUUUCUUUCUCUCGGUCCCACCAGGGUGGGCCCCUCUGGGGUAAUAAAGAAAUGGAUAAAAAAAGGGGACUUCUGCUAUGGGCUAUGCCACCCAUUACUUAUGAGGGAAGUCGCAUCCGUCCCAUCGCAAGCACCUACAAUGUCAUGAUCACAUUGGUUUACCCUUUUUUGGUAGUUCAAUGGACGGUCGCCCCUCCAACAAGAAAAGGUAGAAAUAUGGAAACUUCUCUGCCAUUUAGAUCAGAGAAUUUAUAG
rnacentral:rRNA from 1 species